AUGUUAAUUUAUGUGCUGAGUGACUUUGAGGACACUUGGGAUUUAAUGCAUGUGUGCUUUUACUGUCUUCCGCGCAGAACCAGGAAAUUCUUCCACAAACAGCCGUCGGUGGAUAAUGUGAGCGAGACCAGCGUGACGGAUGAGAGCAUGUCAGAGUCCACGACUGCGAGCGUGCCGCGGUUCUACAUGAUGGUAGAAAACGGCGUGGAAGGAUUGGUCGUCCCGGCCGUGGCGUGUCCCCGGAGAGCCGUCUGUCCAUCCUGCUCCUCAGACGCAGGUGACAUUCCCCUUUCUGAGGAGUCGGGAACAAUGUCCCAACACAACAGAGGGUACGAGUGUUCGAUGGUGUCGGCUGCGGUCAUGGAACAGAACCAGCCUCCUCUCCGUCACUCACUGUCGUAUACUUGUACGACUUUCAAACCACCAGCGCUCCCUGAGACUCCCGGUCCAGAGUCCCCUGCUCGUUAGGUCACCAGAGAGGCCGACACAGCUGCACCGCUCAACGCACACACGCUGCAUCAUCUGGAUGAUGCACAAACUGUAAAGUCAGAGUGUCAUUACAAACUGAAACCCUCCACAAAUUAAAGAAAGGCAUUUAGAGCAAACUAAAAUCUGGCUUGCUUUUCAGUAGAUGUGUCAAUUCCAGGCUAGUUCAUGAGGGAAGUCGUAAAACAGCAUCACCUAGAAUAAAUCACGUGGCACACAGAAAAUGAUUUAAAUUACAAGAUGUGGUGAAGAGCAAUUUGUGUAACACAGAGAAAACACAGAGAAGCAAAAAUGGAAAGAAUAAAAACAAACUGCACCACAAGUAAUGGAAAUAAAGGAAACUAUAGUUGACUGAGUGUUGAGACUAAAUAAAAAUGUUGUGUAUCAGUAUUUGGGAUGAAACAGCAUAAACAUCAUGUAAAAUACAAAUGUACAGUAAAAAGUUCUCAGCUUGUUAUCAUCUCAUCAAGUGUUGUAAAAGUUAGUGGAAACAAAAUUAUACAAUUAAACAAAUCACAUGUAUAAACUGAGUUACAAGCGAGCAAACACAAUAAAAAAACGCGUCCACUAACUGAAUUACUCAGAUUAAAAAAUCGAUGGUCAAGUUGUCACGAGACAGAAAGCUUUAUUACUAAUCCAAUGUAAAUACCAGUACUUUAAAAGUCCAGCAUGUAGAAUUAGAUCAGAAUAAUUGGCAGAAAUGGAAUGUAAUUAUACACGAGCAUUAAUGUAUAAUCACCUCAAACUAUGAUGUGUUGUGUUUUCGUUAUGAGGCCUCAAUAAUUAGAGAGGAAGCAGGAAAAUCUGUGUUGUAAUCUAAUUUGUAUAUAAACAAACCGCUUCGAUGAAACUGGUGCAGGACGACAGAACAUGAAGAGUAUCUGCCUGCUUGUGUUAUUAAGGGAUGCAUUUUGUAUCGUUGUUUAGAAAAUCACCUUCAAAUAUUCCCAUUUGUUCUAUAUUUCAUAGAAUAGUUGUAAGUGAGAGGUUAAGUUGUUUUACUGGGAGUGAAACAAGUUCAUCCUGCGAUCAGCUCAAAAUAAUUAAAUGUGAUUUAAACCACAUAAAAAACUGAAAAUGCAACAUCUGUCUGAUAAUAUUCAGCAGGAUGACAGCUAGAAUGUCAGAGCAUUAACUCAAAUCAACUAACUCAACUAACCAACAACUGUGAUAUUGUAUUCAAAUUGUAUAUUUAUUUUUAUACAAAGAUCUCGGUACGUUUCCUCGCGUCAAAGCUUUAAUUACAACUGUGCUCUUAGAAAUAAGGAGGCUGAACUGAACUGGAAUGGACUGUUUGCUUUGGAAAGGGAAGGUUUAUUUCUAUCAGUGUCAAACGUCGGAGCAGAAUGAGUUUUUAUACAUAAAACUGGUAGACUAAUAUUUAUUUGGAGAGAUUUGCAACACACAGGAUGUUUUUUUUUUAUUCUCACUGUAUUCAGCUCGGAUUUUGUCAUUGUCAUCACAUAUGUACCAUCACUGGAAUUAGAACUUGCUUGUUUUUAUUUCAAUCAAUAAAAUUAUAUUCACAAAAAGUACUCUUUUCUCAUGAUCUUCAUAUAAUUGAAAG
rnacentral:lncRNA from 1 species